AUCCAGCUGACGAGUCCCAAAUAGGACGAGACGUGCUUCCUGGAU
rfam:Schistosoma mansoni strain Puerto Rico chromosome 1, complete genome